UACGGAGGGUGCAAGCGUUGUCCGGAAUCACUGGGCGUAAAGGGCGCGUAGGCGGCUCAUGAAGGCUGUGGUGAAAGUCCGGGGCUCAACCUCGGAUCGGCCGUGGCGACUCGUGGGCUGGAGCACUGUAGAGGCGGGUGGAAUUCCGGGUGUAGCGGUGGAAUGCGUAGAGAUCCGGAAGAACACCAGUGGCGAAGGCGGCUGUCUGGCCCAAUACUGACACUCAGGUGCGACAGCGUGGGGAGGCAAACAGG
rnacentral:rRNA from 1 species